rnacentral:rRNA from 1 species
GAAGCUUGCUUCUCUUGAGAGCGGCGGACGGGUGAGUAAUGCCUAGGAAUCUGCCUGGUAGUGGGGGAUAACGUUCGGAAACGGACGCUAAUACCGCAUACGUCCUACGGGAGAAAGCAGGGGACCUUCGGGCCUUGCGCUAUCAGAUGAGCCUAGGUCGGAUUAGCUAGUUGGUGGGGUAAUGGCUCACCAAGGCGACGAUCCGUAACUGGUCUGAGAGGAUGAUCAGUCACACUGGAACUGAGACACGGUCCAGACUCCUACGGGAGGCAGCAGUGGGGAAUAUUGGACAAUGGGCGAAAGCCUGAUCCAGCCAUGCCGCGUGUGUGAAGAAGGUCUUCGGAUUGUAAAGCACUUUAAGUUGGGAGGAAGGGCCAUUACCUAAUACGUGAUGGUUUUGACGUUACCGACA